rnacentral:rRNA from 1 species
UUCGUGUGAACAGUGGUUGAUCACGAGUUAGUCGGUCCUAAGUUCAAGGCGAAAGCCGAAAAUUUUCAAGUAAAAAUUAAGUAAUUAUAUACCAAUAUAUAUUCAAUUAUAUAUGCAAAUAAAUGUUAAUAUUUUAUACACUUGAAUAAUUUUGAACGAAAGGGAAUACGGUUCCAAUUCCGUAACCUGUUGAGUAUCCGUUUGUUAUUAAAUAUGGGCCUCGUGCUCAUCCUGGUAACAGGAACGACCAUAAAGAAGCCGUCGAGAGAUAUCGGAAGAGUUUUCUUUUCUGUUUUAUAGCCGUACUACCAUGGAAGUCUUUCGCAGAGAGAUAUGGUAGAUGGGCUAGAAGAGCAUGACAUAUACUGUUGUGUCGAUAUUUUCUCCUCGGACCUUGAAAAUUUAUGGUGGGGAUACGCAAACUUCUCAACAGGCCGUACCAAUAUCCGCAGCUGGUCUCCAAGGUGAAGAGUCUCUAGUCGAUAGAAUA